rnacentral:rRNA from 1 species
UACGUAGGGUGCGAGCGUUGUCCGGAAUUACUGGGCGUAAAGAGCUCGUAGGUGGUUUGUCGCGUUGUCCGUGAAAACUCACAACUCAAUUGUGGGCGUGCGGGCGAUACGGGCAGACUGGAGUACUGCAGGGGAGACUGGAAUUCCUGGUGUAGCGGUGGAAUGCGCAGAUAUCAGGAGGAACACCGGUGGCGAAGGCGGGUCUCUGGGCCACUGACUGACGCUGAGAAGCGAAAGCAUGGGGGAGCGAACAGG